AACUUGUUUUAUUUACGAUUUGAUUUUGACAAAAGAGACAAAAUGAUCAGCAUCCUGAAGAAUUUAUUUGAAAAAGGAAUAUAUUGUUUUGCUCAGUCAGAAACUUUGUUUGAUAUAAUUACACUACCUUUUAAAGUCACGGAUUCGUCUUUAAGACGAAUUGUUAAAUCACACCACAAAAUAAUGAGAUUUAAAUGUUUAUCUGAACACCGAACAAUCAAUCUGCUUUAUCAUUUUUUACAUUAUUCGAGUUCUAAAAUGUCAAGAAGUAUCUAUUUUGUAAUGCUGCCAUCUACACA
rnacentral:lncRNA from 1 species